rnacentral:rRNA from 1 species
GGGUUGUAAACUUCUUUUAUAAAGGAAUAAAGUCGGGUAUGCAUACCCGUUUGCAUGUACUUUAUGAAUAAGGAUCGGCUAACUCCGUGCCAGCAGCCGCGGUAAUACGGAGGAUCCGAGCGUUAUCCGGAUUUAUUGGGUUUAAAGGGAGCGUAGAUGGAUGUUUAAGUCAGUUGUGAAAGUUUGCGGCUCAACCGUAAAGUUGCAGUUGAUACUGGAUGUCUUGAGUGCAGUUGAGGCAGGCGGAAUUCGUGGUGUAGCGGUGAAAUGCUUAGAUAUCACGAAGAACUCCGAUUGCGAAGGCAGCCUGCUAAGCUGCAACUGACAUUGAGGCUCGAAAGUGUGGGUAUCAAACAGGAUUAGAUACCCUGGUAGUCCACACGGUAAA